rnacentral:rRNA from 1 species
UACGGGGGGGGCAAGCGUUGUUCGGAAUUACUGAGCGUAAAGGGCUCGUAGGCGGCCAACUAAGUCAGACGUGAAAUCCCUCGGCUUAACCGGGGAACUGCAUCUGAUACUGGAUGGCUUGAGAUUGGGAGAGGGAUGCGGAAUUCCAGGUGUAGCGGUGAAAUGCGUAGAUAUCUGGAGGAACACCGGUGGCGAAGGCGGCAGCCUGGACCAACACUGACGCUGAGGAGCGAAAGCCAGGGGAGCAAACGGG